ACUCCCAUAGUAGGAAAAAUGACUAAAUUGUGUUCUGUUGAACACAAAAGAAGACAUUUUGAAGAAUGUAGAACAGCAAACAGUUCUAGGGCACUUUUGACUACUGUUGUAUUUUUCCCUACUAUGGGAGUCAAUGGGGGCAAAAUCUGUCUGGUUGUAAACAUUCUUCCAAAUAUCUUUCUCCGUGUUCAUCAGAACAAAAUAAAUGUAUACAGAUUUGGAACAACUCGAAGGUGAGUAAAUGGUGACAGAAUUUUCAUUUUUGGGUGAAGUAUUCCUUUAACAAAAACAUCCGUUUCAGCCAGUGGUUUUGUCAUCAUUUAUUCAUCCUCAAGUCAUUCAAAACCUGUAUAUGAUUUUCUUCUGUAGAACAAAAAAGAUAUUUUGAGAAAUGUCUCAGUGGUUUUGUGUCCAUACAAUGGAAGUCAAUAGAAACCAAUAUUAUUUAGAAUAUCUUUUUUGGGUUCUUUAGAAGAAAUAAAAUCAUAUAGGUUUGGAAUGACACAGUUUUUUUUUGGAGAACUAUCCUUUAAAAGAUCAAACUUGUUUGACGGAUAUGGCAGACACGUGUUACCUCAUUCAGGGUGGCACCUGCAUCCUGCUACACUUUUGGUGUACCAAAUGCUACAGGACAAGUUUCACAUCUCUCAUACCAGGUGAGGCUUAAAGAAUUUUGCCAGGCUGAUCUAGAUGAAAAGUAAGACUAGAGUGAAGUGAGACUAAGCGUGUUGUAAUGGUUUUGACUAUCACUCUCAACGGAUUUGGGGAAUCUGGAAGUUAGAGAGACUGGACAAAGUCAAUUCUGACCAGCUGUAGAGAGUUCCAUUCCACAAGGAACUCCGACACUGUGAUGUAUGCAGAACAAAAUGAGAUGUGGAGGAACAUCAUUGGGCAGAGAGAAGCCAGUAAUAAUGUGUGCUGGGGUAGAUGAGCUGAAGAGUCGAAACAAUAGGCACAAGAGACAACAAGUGGAGAGAUUGACCGCUGAGUCCAGAACAACAUGUAGGUUAAAGAUCUGCUAUGGAAUGAGUCACACAGCACAAGAGGAUAAACUCUCUGGAAACCAUCAGAGUAUAUUAACACUGAAAUGAGGGAAACUCUGGGUUUUCCGUUUCAGAAUGUGAGGUAUGUCAAACCCGAGAAAGUGGGGUAACUCAAGCCCGUUUCUAAAGGAGAGGUUGUUAUUAUACUCAGAAUUAGUAACCAUAGUAACUUACUCUGUGAACCUAACCUGGUCGGGAAUAGGUUUUCUUUGGUAAACCCAGAGUUUAUUUCGAUCUCCUCCCCCUUUUAAAGCGCAAGUGGUGUAACUCAUCCAUUCAUUAAUUAAUACAGUCAUUCAUGGCACACAUUUUGUCACAGAGACCAUCUCAGUGACUUAUGUCAUAUGUGUCACGGAACGGUUUGGCAGAACCCAGUCGCAGACAAGAGAGUACAAAAAAUGUAUUUAUUUAACAAAAACACAAAACAAAACCCACGAGGGGGAAAACAAUACUCGCUAAAACAAAACAAACACUUCCCACGUGGGGGAAUAACUAGCAAUCAAAAAAUAACAAACAGGGCUAGACUAGGGAAACAGAUAAACAUGAGACUUACUAUAUGACCGACACGAAGGGGUUGACAUGUAGUAUACAUGACAACAAACCGGCAAAGGACAGAGAACAAACGGGCAUUAUAUGUGGGAAGACUAACGAAGGAUAAUUACAUACGGGAGGUGACGGGCAGGUGACUGGGAUUGACACUAGGGGAAUGAUUACGGGAGACAGGAAGGCGGGGCUGAGAGACAAGACAGGAUGACACGCAGCGAAAGUGACAACAAAAGCCACGUGUCUCCACACAAAACGCAACAUAAACCAGCAAGACGUGGUUCUGUCACGACUCCGUCCAAUGAGCAUGAGAACUCGUAACAGGAAGGACAGAGUCCUGACAACAUGUGCUUUUAUAGAGGAUUCAUGAAGAGGCUGCCUUCAUUCAUUGGGAUCAGUGUUGUGUGUAACUAGUUACUAAGUAAUUAGUUACUGUAAUUUAAUUACUUUCCCCUUGAAAAAGUAAAGUAAGGGAUUACUCUUAUUUUUUCUGUAAUUUAAUUACAGUUACUUCUGAUGUAAUUAAACUAAAUACUUUGUGUAAUAUAUGUGUGUGCAAUAGUGGAAU